CCCCUCUCAGGAUCGCAACUGGAGAGUUUUCAGUACUCUACCAGUCUUGGCUAUGGGAGGAAGAGUCAAGCAGAGGCAUACCUAUUCCAUUUCUAGCUCGGGAAGUGGCUAGAGAUCGCAAGGCAAUCUGCUACAUGU